rnacentral:rRNA from 1 species
AGAGUUUGAUCCUGGCUCAGAAUCAACGCUGGCGGCGCGCCUAACACAUGCAAGUCGAACGAGAAAGCGGGAGCAAUCCCGCAAGUAAAGUGGCGUACGGGUGAGUAACACGUGGAUGAUCUGCCCUGGAGUGGGGAAUAACGCUGGGAAACCGGCGCUAAUACCGCAUAUUCCCGAGAGGGGAAAGCAGCAAUGCGCUCGAGGAGGAGUCCGCGGCCGAUUAGCUAGUUGGCAGGGUAAAAGCCUACCAAGGCUAUGAUCGGUAGCCGGCCUGAGAGGGCACACGGCCACACUAGCACUGAAACACGGGCCAGACUCCUACGGGAGGCAGCAGUGGGGAAUCUUGCACAAUGGGGGAAACCCUGAUGCAGCGACGCCGCGUGAGCGAUGAAGCCCUUCGGGGUGUAAAGCUCUUUCGGCAGGGAAGAUUAUGACGGUACCUGCAGAAGCAGCUGCGGCUAACUACGUGCCAGCAGCCGCGGUAAUACGUAGGCAGCAAGCGUUGUUCGGAGUUACUGGGCGUAAAGGGUGUGUAGGUGGCCUGUUAAGUUCCGUGUGAAAUCUCCCGGCUCAACCGGAGGG